CUCGCCUUUCCCCGCCCCAGCCGCCUGCGCGCCCGCCCUAGAUAUCAUGGCGGCUCCCUUGGCCCUGGUUCUGGUGGUGGCCGUGACCGUGCGGGCCGCCUUAUUCCGCUCUAGUCUGGCCGAGUUCAUUUCCGAGCGGGUAGAGGUGGUGUCCCCUCUGAGCUCGUGGAAGCGAGUGGUUGAAGGCCUGUCACUGUUGGACUUGGGAAUAUCUCCAUAUUCUGGAGCAGUCUUCCAUGAAACUCCACUCAUAAUAUAUCUCUUUCAUUUCCUAAUUGAUUAUGCUGAGUUGGUAUUUAUGAUAAGCGAUGCGCUCACUGCUGUUGCCCUCUAUUUUGCAAUCCAGGAUUUCAAUAAAGUUGUGUUUAAAAAGCAAAAACUCCUCCUAGAACUGGACCAGUAUGCCCCUGAUGUGGCCGAACUCAUCCGAACCCCUAUGGAAAUGCGUUACAUCCCUCUGAAAGUGGCUCUGUGCUAUCUCUUAAAUCCCUACACGAUCUUGUCUUGUGUUGCCAAGUCUACCUGCGCCAUCAACAACACCCUCAUUGCUUUCUUCAUAUUGGCUACUAUAAAAGGCAGUGCUUUCCUCAGUGCAAUUUUCCUUGCGUUAGCAACAUACCAGUCUCUGUACCCACUCACCUUGUUUGUGCCAGGGCUGCUCUAUCUCCUUCAGCGGCAGUACAUUCCUGUGAAAGUGAGGAGCAAGGCCUUCUGGAUCUUCCUGUGGGAAUACACCGUGAUGUAUGUGGGAAGCCUGGUGGUAAUCGUUUGCCUCUCCUUCUUCCUUCUCAGCUCCUGGGAUUUCAUCCCCGCGGUCUAUGGCUUCAUACUGUCCGUUCCAGAUCUCACUCCAAACAUUGGCCUUUUCUGGUACUUCUUUGCAGAGAUGUUUGAGCACUUCAGCCUCUUCUUUGUAUGUGUGUUUCAGAUCAACGUUUUCUUCUACACCAUUCCCUUAGCCAUCAAGCUAAAGGAGCACCCCAUCUUCUUCAUGUUCAUCCAGAUUGCCGUCAUUGCCAUCUUUAAGUCCUACCCAACUGUGGGGGAUGUGGCGCUCUAUAUGGCCUUCUUCCCUGUGUGGAACCAUCUCUACAGAUUCCUGCGGAACAUCUUUGUCCUCACCUGCAUUAUUAUCGUCUGUUCCCUGCUCUUCCCUGUGCUGUGGCACCUGUGGAUUUAUGCGGGAAGUGCCAACUCUAACUUCUUUUAUGCCAUCACCCUGACCUUCAAUGUUGGGCAGAUCAUGCUCAUCUCCGACUACUUCUACGCCUUCCUGCGGCGGGAGUACUACCUCACACACGGCCUCUACCUAACUGCCAAGGACGGCACGGAGGCCAUGCUUGUGCUCAAGUAGGCCUGCCGGGCACAGGCUGCACGGACCUCACAGAGCGGAGGGCCUGGAGCUGGGCCCAGCCCUCUAUGCGGAGUCGCCGACAGACAAGGCUCAAGUCUAGGAUCACCAGUCUGUGGCACCAGAGGAGCCCUCUGGCUGAGAGCAAGGCCUGUGGGGAGGAGCUGGACGCCUCAGAAGCCUUUGUGGCUCUGCACACCGAGGAGCCCCCCCCCCCCACCUGGAGAACAGAGGGUUGGCAGCAGACCUAACCCAGGUCCCCUUCCGGCAGCUGCUGCCUGCACACCCACCGGAUGAUCUUAACCAGUUCGCUCAUGUUGACAUGAUCCGGGACCAAGAACUUGGUUUUGUCCAGGACUGGCAGCUGCUUCUCCCCCUUGUAGCGCUCUAUGAUCACCUGAGAGUGGGACAAGUGAGCCGGGGCCGGGCCGGACCGGCAAGGGAGGGGUGUGUGUCAGGGACUCGGGACUCACCGGGAUCUUGCUGGGGUGCUGGUCACGGAUC